AAUCGAAUCAUUUCAAGAUCAGCUGAACAGUGCUUGCCCUUCUUCUAAGUUCUGAAGAAAUUGAAGAAUUUUUAGUGAUUCGAGGAAUACCAAAAGGCUUUCGCCGACCUUAACAGCUACCUUAGCUCCACUCCACUACUCGAUAAGUCUGACCCUGAUGAAGAAUUAUAUUUGUAUCUUGCAGUUUAGCUUGUUGCUAUGAGUGCAAUGCUAGCCA
rnacentral:lncRNA from 1 species